UACUGUUCAGAGACCCGCUUCGGAGGCAAUUUUCGAAGAAUGAACAGCACCAAAGCUGAUGGAAGAAUUUCUACGAACUGUCACACCCACAAGAAGGAAAAUUAGAAAAAGAAAAAGAAUGGGAAAAUAGGAAGAGAAAAGACACCGAAAUCUCAGCUCCAAAAUAAAGGCCGAAGUUUAUUAAUGGGAAGACUUCUUGCCUAAACAAUAAAAAGAAAAGAAGAAUCCCUGAGCAUCCAUCCGUAAAGUGAUAGUGAUUACUUAUGUCGAAUUACUUUGUAGAAAGGGAUAUGGUUGUCUACCUGGUGAUAUAUCUCGGCCCAGAAAAGGACAAGCAAUGUUAUGUUGAGAAAAAUAAAAGACCGGGAAGAUCCAGAAGCACCAUUUCAAGUGCCUGUACAAUGGAGCAAAUUAUAAGCAGGGGUCUAAUUCCGAAGAGGUAACACAUGCUUAAAAGAUGGAGCAAAAUCAUAAUACGGUUCCAACGUACCGCAAACUAAUAGGUACGGCGUUAUCUAUUGUCUCUAAUAUACUUCAAUGAUCAACUAGUCUAGUUUCCUAUUAUUGAUAGUGGACUUAAACAAUAUGAACUCUUAGACAUCAUAUAUGUACGUAUGCGUGCAUGCAUGUAUCUGUGUAUGUAUGUAUGUAUGUAUGUACGGAUAUAUGCA